UACGGAGGAUGCAAGCGUUAUCCGGAUUUAUUGGGUUUAAAGGGUCCGUAGGCGGGCAUAUAAGUCAGGGGUGAAAUCCGACAGCUUAACUGUCGAACUGCCUUUGAAACUGUAUGUCUUGAGUGAGGAUGAAGUAGGCGGAAUUUGUGGUGUAGCGGUGAAAUGCAUAGAUAUCACGAGGAACUCCGAUUGCGCAGGCAGCUUACUAAACCAUAACUGACGCUCAGGCACGAAGGCGUGGGGAUCAAACAGGAUUAGA
rnacentral:rRNA from 1 species